rnacentral:rRNA from 1 species
UACGUAGGGCGCAAGCGUUGUCCGGAAUUAUUGGGCGUAAAGAGCUCGUAGGCGGUUUGUCGCGUCUGUCGUGAAAGCCCACGGCUUAACCGUGGGUCUGCGGUGGAUACGGGCAGACUAGAGGCAGGUAGGGGAGAACGGAAUUCCCGGUGUAGCGGUGAAAUGCGCAGAUAUCGGGAGGAACACCGGUGGCGAAGGCGGUUCUCUGGGCCUGUACUGACGCUGAAGUGCGAAAGCCAGGGGAGCGAACGGG